UCUUAUAUAAACGUUAGGCUAUGAGUAGUAAGUGUUGAACAGGAAACUCAAAGGUAUUUGGCGGUUUUAAUUAUCUUAUCAGAGGAAUUUGUUCUGUAAUCGAUAAUCCUCGUUAUAUUUUACCUUAUUAAUGGUUUGAAUAUCGCUGUAUAUUAUGUUAUUUUAAUAAAAUAUAGAUUAAUAUACUUCAAUAAUAUAAGUCAAGGUUCAGCUUUAUUUGGAUUGAAAUGAGUUACAAUAUUUUAUGUUGAAAUGUUCAUUAGAAUGUGAAUGUGAAAUUGGAUUUGAUAGUAAUUAUAGAAUAAUAUGCUAUAAUGAAUGAAGUUUAUUAAAAUGU
rnacentral:rRNA from 1 species